rnacentral:lncRNA from 1 species
AAAGCUCGACUACAGAUACUUUAAAAAUAGUGUCCUUAUCUUUAAUGGGAUCUCAUGAUUAAGUCACACUUGAUACAUUUAACGGACUAGCUAUUCUAGGGACUUUAUUAAACAAACAUAAUAAAGAAAAAGCAUUUUAUUAUUAAUAAAUAAUUCGAUACAAGUACCAAAAGUAUUUGCCUCUAGGUCUUACACCAACACUAAGCAUAUUUAUCUAACAUGAACAAAAAUGAAAAAAAAUUAGCAAAAC